rnacentral:rRNA from 1 species
AUGAGUAUAUUAUGCUGGAAUUGUCGAGGCCUUGGGUCGGACUUGACAGUUGGUGAGCUUUGCUGGUUAGUGAAGCUGCACCGACCCACCCUUCUCUUCUUGUCUAAAACGAAGAUGAGGGAAGCUCGUGUUAGAAACUUGAUGUGGUCUUUGGGGUUUAAGGGUUGUAUUGUUGUGGGUAGUGAUGGUCAGAGUGGUGGUCUGGGCCUGUUUUGGUUUUAA